rnacentral:ncRNA from 2 species
AUCGUAGCAUUGCCGUCCGGCCUCAAGCAGCGAGUGAAAAGGGAAUCCAGUGUGAAUCUGGAGCUGACGCGCAGCGGUAUGGGGAAGUCACGGCGAUAGCGUUAUACCUAGGUAUAUAUGCAGACACUGUCCACUGCUGGAUGGGAAGUCAUCGCCCGGUGUCGGUUGCCUAUGGCAAUCGGCAAAUCCCAAGCCCGAAAACCUGCCGGUGUACGUCGCAACGU